rnacentral:rRNA from 1 species
GACGAACGCUGGCGGCGUGCCUAAUACAUGCAAGUAGAACGCAGUUGCGAACGGGUGAGUAACGCGUAGGUAACUGCCUGGUAGCGGGGGAUAACUAUUGGAUACGAUAGCUAAUACCGCAUACUACCAGAUGGACCUGCGUUGUAUUAGCUAGUUGGUGAGGUAACGGCUCACCAAGGCAACGAUACAUAGCCGAACUGAGAGGGUGAUCCGCCACACUGGGACUGGGACACGGCCCAGACUCCGACGGGAGGCAGCAGUAGGGAAUCUUCGGCAAGGGGAGGAAAACUGACCGAGCAACGCCGCGUGAGUGAAGAAGGUUUUCGGGUCGUAAAGAUAUGUUGUUGAGGAAGAGGUACUUAACAAGAAAGAGACGGCUAACUACGUGCCAGCAGCCGCGGUAAUAA